UACGUAGGGGGCAAGCGUUGUCCGGAUUUAUUGGGCGUAAAGAGCGUGUAGGCGGCUUUGCAAGUCCGUUGUGAAAACUCGAGGCUCAACCUCGAGACGCCGGUGGAAACUGCAAAGCUAGAGUCCGGAAGAGGAGAGUGGAAUUCCUGGUGUAGCGGUGAAAUGCGCAGAUAUCAGGAAGAACACCCGUGGCGAAGGCGGCCCUCUGGGACGGUACUGACGCUGAGGCGCGAAAGCGUGGGGAGCAAACAGG
rnacentral:rRNA from 1 species